CUGUCUCUAUAAAAACCCCUCAUUUCCCAACAAUUUCACUCUCUUUCAUUUGCAUUUGCUUCUUCCCACAUACUAUCUCUUCACGCGUUUUCUCUCUUCGUCUCGCCUCUCCCGUCCGUCGCCCAUUAGGGUUUUGUACUGCACGCCAGAUGUCUUUUGGUUCCUUGAAGAAGUAUCAUUUGUUUUUCUGGGGCGCUUUCUGUUUCAUGAACCAGGGAAGGCUGUGGUGCCAUCGGAAGAUCUUAUUUAGGCAUUGGACUUGACGUUGGCUGACUUAGUUAGGAGGGAGGAGGGUAUUGUGUUGGGGUUUGUGGCGUACAUAUAUCUUCUUCUAGUGCUUUUCUUUUUAGUUUCCUUUUUCUUCAUCUGGUUAACUAUUUGCUUCUCCGACGAAGUACAAUAUUGUCUUGGAAAGGGUUUGGUAUUGCUUUUUGUCAGACACAGAGCUUUGAGAAGAUUGUUACUGUUGUUAAGAAGUUAUUCUCUUGGGGGACGUUCUGAGGUCAUUCUUGAUGGUGAGGACGUCCCUUCCUCCUGGAUUUCGCUUUCAUCCAACUGAUGUUGAGCUGGUUAUGUACUAUCUGAAACGGAAGGUAAUGGGAAAGAAAAUUCCUUUUGAAGCCAUAUCAGAGCUCAACAUUUACAAAUUCUCUCCAUGGGAUCUUCCUGAUAAAUCUUGCUUGAAAAGUAAGGAUCUUGAGUGGUAUUUCUUCUGCCCAAGAGAGAGGAAGUAUGCAAGCGGGUCAAGAAUGAACCGUUCAACUGAAACUGGAUACUGGAAGACCACAGGAAAGGAUAGACCUGUUACUUAUAAUAAGAACAGUGUUGGAAUGGUUAAGACCUUGGUGUUCCACCAAGGUUGUGCUCCGCGCGGGCAAAGAACUGAUUGGGUGAUACAUGAAUACAGGAUUGAAGAUAAGAACUUGGCUGAUAUGGGGUAUGCUCAGGAUGCUUAUGUUUUGUGCAAACUCUUCCACAAGAGUGGACCAGGACCUAAAAAUGGUGCAUCGUAUGGAGCGCCUUUUAGAGAAGAGGACUGGGAUGAUGAUGAAGAGAUUCCUGUUGACUCUUUGUUACCUGGUGGCCCAUCAACUGUAGAACCUGUGCAGCCUGAAAAUGAUAACUCUUCUGCUGCCAUUAGCUUGGUUGACCUUGGAAAUGCACCCCUAAUGCCCCCAAAUGAACCUGGACCUUCCUUUGUUCAGCCUUCCAAAGAUACGGUUCUCUCGAAUGGUCAGAAUAGUUCAAUGGUCACAAGAGUGGUUGAUACUGGGAAUGCAUCUGGAUGGUCUUUAAGUGAAGCUGGUCUAACCUCAGCUAGCCAUUCUGGUAAUGGCAUGGACAUGGACCCACCAGAUGAUAUUCUUCAUUUGCUUGCAGCUUUCUCAGAAGAUAGCCCUUUGCUCCCCACUGUUAAUGGAAAUACUGAGCUUGGUGAUCUUGGUCAAGGAAGAGCUGCGGAAGCUAUCCCUCAUUCAGAUGGAGGUGAUCUAUUUAGUGGUCUAGAAGACCUCAGUAACUUGGCUGAGCUCAAUGGAGGUGGACUUAAUUUGUUUGAUAAUUAUCAAAUUGGCUAUACUACAAACAACAUGCGUCUACAAGAUGACAGUGGCUUUUUAGAACUUAAUGACCUUGAUGCUCCACUGAAUUUCACUGCUCAAUCUUGUGGACCUGAACAAAUGCAUACUGGUGGCUUAUAUAGACCGAGCAAUUCUAGUGGAUCUGAGCAUGUGUUUGCUGGGAGUUUAUGCACUGAAUACAACACUAGCAACCAUACCUGGAAUGGUGACAAUAUUCCUGGUUACGAGCAACAUCCGACAGACUUGCAUCAUCUUUUAGUGUUGCCCGAUGCAUCUGACAUACAAGGAAACUCCACUAGUAUUUUCCCAAUGGGGAACGUCUAUGACAGUACGAAUGCUGCAUACAAUUUGGAUUUUACUACUAACAGACCAUUGGAGGAUAUCAGGAAUGCUGCUGGAAAUCAAGAAAGAGGUAGAUCUCAUAAUUUCUGAUGACAAUUCUGGUCGUUGCACAAGCUUCAAGAUCUAUUUAUAGUUCUGAAGUCAAGUCAAUGUAGAGAGCCCAGCUAGAGAUACUGGGCAUCUGUGGAUAGUUUGCAUCUUGUGAAACUGGAGUUUCUACAUGAUGCAUGAUGCUUGACGGUACUAUGUACCUCUAGGUCUCAUCUGAUAAUGUAGGCCGCAUUAUUGUCAAAGAGAGGUGACAAAGAACCUAUUUCUUGUACCUCUUGUUCUUUUUUCUUUUGUCCUAGGUGAUUCUGUCAUCAUUUUACAAUGUCAAUUGCAGCAUCUGAUGAUGUUGCAAAAACCUCUUAUUUAUGGUCCAUGGGUGCUGCAGGAGCGCAGCAAAGAACACCACACUACUCAAGACUCCAACAGUUGUUGGAGUCCGUACCUGCUGAUCCUGCAUCAGCUGCUUAUGAUGGCUCCUCCAUACAUGUCAAGGCCGAGGUGACUUAUAGAUUCGCUACUUGCACUAAAGACGCUUUGUCAGUUAUGGUGGGGGAGUCUACUUUUGUCUUUAGCCCUUGGUGGAACCUGCCUGUGCUAGGAUUUCAGAAGGCAGUGGGAUACCGCGGUUGUGGUUCUCCUGUUGUGUUCUGUUUAAGAUUGGAUUCAGCUUUCGUGUGCAUGCUGAUGUUUUCACUUUUAAGAGAAUUUGUCUGGUAUUUGUGGAGCUGGUUUUGCUUUUGUGAAAUAAUCGGUUGCUUUAAAACGAUUCAUCAAUUUGUAUUAACUCAUCAGCGAGCGCAUGUAGUCUCAAUUAAAAGCAUGGAUUUUAU